CAGAUGUGCGGGGUGUUGUAGAGCUCGGAAAUAUAUCGAUAUUAUAUCAACAUCGUGAUGUGAGACUAGAUUUCGUCUUGGAUUUUGGAUAUCGUAACACCCUAAUAUGACAUAAGUGUCUGUUCCUGGCGUUAAAGGCUGCAUUACAGUAAAGUGAUGUCAUUUCCUGAUCUUACAAGACUGUUGUAGCGGUUCUAUUUUUCACCUUUACCCACUCAGUCAUUAUAUCCACAUUACUGAUGAUUAUUUAUCUAA